rnacentral:tRNA from 1 species
GCCGAAGUGGCGGAACUGGCAGACGCGCAGCGUUGAGGGCGCUGUGGGCAUCUUUGCCUGUGAGGGUUCGAAUCCCACCUUCGGCA